GCAUCCGUGGCUUAGUCGGGAAAACACCCGACUAUGUUGCGGUAGGUUUCGGGUUCGAUCCCCAGUGGAGGCA